rnacentral:rRNA from 1 species
CAGUAGCCGCGGUAAUACGUAGGGUGCGAGCGUUAAUCGGAAUUACCGGGCGUAAAGCGUGCGCAGGCGGUUAUGUAAGACAGUUGUGAAAUCCCCGGGCUCAACCUGGGAACUGCAUCUGUGACUGCAUAGCUAGAGUACGGUAGAGGGGGAUGGAAUUCCGCGUGUAGCAGUGAAAUGCGUAGAUAUGCGGAGGAACACCGAUGGCGAAAGCAAUCCCCUGGACCUGUACUGACGCUCAUGCACGAAAGCGUAGGGAGCAAACAGGAUUAGAUACCCCGGUAGUCCCUGUCUCUUAUAC